rnacentral:rRNA from 1 species
UUACACAUGCAAGUCGAACGGAAAGGCCCUGCUUGCGGGGUACUCGAGUGGCGAACGGGUGAGUAACACGUGGGUGAUCUGCCCUGCACUUCGGGAUAAGCUUGGGAAACUGGGUCUAAUACCGGAUAGGACCGCAUUUUAGUGUGUGUGGUGGAAAGUUUUUUCGGUGUAGGAUGAGCUCGCGGCCUAUCAGCUUGUUGGUGGGGUAAUGGCCUACCAAGGCGGCGACGGGUAGCCGGCCUGAGAGGGUGUACGGCCACAUUGGGACUGAGAUACGGCCCAGACUCCUACGGGAGGCAGCAGUGGGGAAUAUUGCACAAUGGGCGCAAGCCUGAUGCAGCGACGCCGCGUGGGGGAUGAAGGCCUUCGGGUUGUAAACUCCUUUCGCUAGGGACGAAGCUUUUGUGACGGUACCUAGAUAAGAAGCACCGGCUAACUACGUGCCAGCAGCCGCGGUAAUACGUAGGGUGCGAGCGUUGUCCGGAAUUACUGGGCGUAAAGGGCUCGUAGGUGGUUUGUCGCGUCGUCUGUGAAAUUCUGGGGCUUAACUCCGGGCGUGCAGGCGAUACGGGCAUAACUUGAGUGCUGUAGGGGUAACUGGAAUUCCUGGUGUAGCGGUGAAAUGCGCAGAUAUCAGGAGGAACACCGAUGGCGAAGGCAGGUUACUGGGCAGUUACUGACGCUGAGGAGCGAAAGCAUGGGUAGCGAACAGGAUUAGAUACCCU